GGCGCUGCGCUCCAGGACAAGUCCCACUGGCAGGUGAGAAUGUCCGAGCCGAGCAGCUCGUAGCCAGGCUCGCACUGGCCCAGCUCAAAUGCCUCUUCUCCCAUGACCAAUGACCUCCUUGUUUCUACCUGUCCAGCAUCCAGUCCCUCUUCUUCUGAUGAGGGAAUUGAGGCACAGAAAGAUUAAGAAACCUGCCUAACAUCACAGCAACUGCCGUCAGAGCUGGGACACCAGCUGGUUAAAGAGCGAU